rnacentral:lncRNA from 1 species
AUGAAUUCUUUUUUAGAUGCCAAAAUUUAAAAGAAAGCGUAACUGAAAUGAAUGGACUUUUUUUACACAAGGAACCUUAAGUGCAUUAAGGAAGAUGCACAGGCCUGAGAUGAUCUGUCUGAAGCCUGGGACUUAAUUUAAUAAGUUGAAGUUGAGUUAGCACCGUUGAGCCUCUGGGGCCGCAUCUUGCAUCAGAAAGAACACAGCUCGUUAUCAUUCCUGAACUAUGCUCCUCUCAGUCGCUGCGCUGGGUAAUGUGAGGUGACACGUGGAGGAAAACAGGAUCUCUUCCAGCAUAUGUGAAAAGGGCAAAUCAAGAGGACAAACAUACGACAGCAAAAAAGAGCAGCAAGGAAGGAAAUUGCAGGCAUGUUUAUGAUGGAAACUUAUUUACAGCCCUGCUGCUGGAGGGAUCAGGGCUCAGCACUCAGCCCUGCCAGCCAUGCCAGAGCUAAGCAAUCCCGAGCAAGUGAUGGGAACAUUUAAGACAUCGGUCUUAGAUUGUCUUUCCGAUCACAGGUUCACAGCAUCUUUGCAAAAGGCGCAGUUGUCUUGACAGCUAUGCCAGCCUCUUCCCGGGGACAGCAGCAAAAGGAGGGAGAGGGAGGGAGGGGGGAGAGCGGAGAGGUGGGAUGAGGAAGAAAAACAGCACACGAGGAGGGAAUUAGCAGUGCCAGCCGAGCGUCGUAUUUGGGGUCUGAUGAGGACACAGCGGAGCAGGAGAUGUUUGGUUCGCCGGGCAAGUUGGCGUGGGCGUUGCACAGAUGCGGGGGAUGCGGAUCGAACGGGGAGGGUCAGGAUGGAUUUGGGGACACGGGGAGAUGCUGCAAGCGGUGGCUAUGACGCGCAGCCCGCCCGUUCAGGAUCACGCAUCCCGCCGUUCCUCCCUAGCGAUCCUCGAUAAACAACGUACGAAAAGGACGGUGACCUCAUCCCAGUGAAACUGGCCAAACACCACACAUUUCUCCGUGCUCGGCUCUGCCGGUCCCUACGCUCCCCACGUCCCCGGGCGGCUGCAGCCCCUUCGCACAGCUCCCGCCGAGCACCCCGGAGCGGCCGAGCCUCUUCCUCCGCUCCCAGCCCGCUGCGGGGAGCCGACAAGCCGUAUCGUGCUCCCUGCGUAAAAGAGACACCUCUGAUGCCCGUCAAACAUCUGCCCUAAUCAGGACAUAACACGAUACAAGCGGAGCUUGAUGCAGGCAUUUAUUUCAGCCGGCUGGCCGGGCUGACGGGCUGCUAACGGCUGUCAGCAUCUCCUCCUCUCCCGGCGCCGGGGAGCGCAGUGCCCGGCUCAGCCCGGGGGUCGGCACCCGCUCUCCCGCCCGGGGCGAGACGCUCCGACUCGCGGCUCCUUUCUGCUCUUUUCCAGACUCUUCUCUCCCUCCCUCCCCGCGCUCGUUUUUCUUUUCUUUCUUCUUUUUUUUUUUUUUU